AAGAAUGUGUUAUUUACAGCUUCAUUUGUUGAAAAUGUAGUAAGAUGGUAUUAAUUUAUUGGAAUUCAUUGUUAUGAUGAGCAGACAUCAAGAAUUGAAGGCACACAUGCAUGUAAUGGACAAUCCACUCAAAUUUUUUAGAAUAAAGUGUUUGGAGUUCAUCUAGAUGAAACAUACUCGAACAAGUUUCAGGACAUUCUUCUGGAUGGUCUGGGCAGUCCAAAGAAUAGUCUAAACCAAAGAUUACCAGGGAGUUUGCCCAGUGAUCACUUGAUGAGCUAGACACAAAUUGAAGUGUUAGUGAUAUAAUGGAGAGAAAAAUACUCACUUUCUAAUCCAUUCAUAGAUGUUUCUCUCCUCAGCUUCAUGUUUAUUAUGUCCAAUAUGAGUCAUGACUUUUCUUUUGUACCAAUUGACAUUCAAACCAUGGACACCAGCAGCACUGAGCAUUUUACUUUCAUUUCUUCUUCAGUCUGAAUAUCUAAAAGAUAAUCUGAAUAAAUAUAGGGUAGACAAUUCAUUUACCUCUUGGAAUAUUUUUCAAUUUUACUUAAAAUGCUGAA